rnacentral:rRNA from 1 species
GUCUUUUUGAAGUUAAAUUUAAAGUCUAACCUGCCCACUGAAUUAUAUUUUAAGGGCCGCAGUUAAAUUGUGCAAAGGUAGCAUAAUCAGUAGAUUUUUGAUUGGAAUCUAGAAUGAAUGGUUGAACGAAAUAUAAAUUUUUUUAAUUAUAAAUAGUAAAAAUUUUUUUUUCUAUAAAAAAAUAGAAAUAAGUUAAAAAGACGAGAAGACCCUAUAGAGUUUUAUUUAGAAUUAUUUUUUAUUAAAAAGUAAUUUUAAAUUAUAUUGGGGUGAUAAAAAAAUUUAAUAAACUUUUUUAGUAAAAAAUCAAUUAUUUUUGAAUUUUAUUUAUCUAUUGUAAUAAAUUUAUAUUUAAUUACCUUAGGGAUAACAGCGUAAUUUUUAUUUUAAGUUCUUAUUGAAAUAAAAGAUUGCGACCUCGAUGUUGGAUUAAAAUUAAUAUUAAAUGCAGUAGUUUAAUUAUAAG